rnacentral:rRNA from 1 species
CCUACGGGAGGCAGCAGUGGGGAAUUUUGGACAAUGGGGGAAACCCUGAUCCAGCCAUGCCGCGUGAGUGAAGAAGGCCUUCGGGUUGUAAAGCUCUUUCAGCCGGAACGAAAAGGUUACGGUUAAUACCCGUGACUAAUGACGGU